UACGUAGGGUGCAAGCGUUGUCCGGAAUUAUUGGGCGUAAAGAGCUCGUAGGCGGUUCGUCGCGUCGAAUGUGAAAACCCGGGGCUCAACUCCGGGCCUGCAUUCGAUACGGGCGGACUAGAGUUCGGUAGGGGAGACUGGAAUUCCUGGUGUAGCGGUGAAAUGCGCAGAUAUCGGGAAGAACACCCGUGGCGAAGGCGGUUCUCUGGGACGGUACUGACGCUGAGACGCGAAAGCGUGGGGAGCGAACAGG
rnacentral:rRNA from 1 species